rnacentral:rRNA from 1 species
AUUGAACGCUGGCGGCAUGCCUAACACAUGCAAGUCGAGCGGACGAAGGGAGCUUGCUCCUGUAUUCAGCUGCGGACGGGUGAGUAAUGCCUAGGAAUCUGCCUGGUAGUGGGGGAUAACGUCCGGAAACGGGCGCUAAUACCGCAUACGUCCUGAUGGAGAACGUGGGGGAUCUUCGGACCUCACGCUAUCAGAUGAGCCUAGGUCGGAUUAGCUAGUUGGUGGGGUAAAGGCCUACCAAGGCGACGAUCCGUAACUGGUCUGAGAGGAUGAUCAGUCACACUGGAACUGAGACACGGUCCAGACUCCUACGGGAGGCAGCAGUGGGGAAUAUUGGACAAUGGGCGAAAGCCUGAUCCAGCAAUGCCGCGUGUGUGAAGAAGGUCUUCGGAUUGUAAAGCACUUUAAGUUGGGAGGAAGGACAGUAAGUUAAUACCUUGCUGUUUUGACGUUACCAACAGAAUAAGCACCGGCUAACUUCGUG